rnacentral:rRNA from 1 species
GUGCCAGCCGCCGCGGUAAUACGUAGGGGGCAAGCGUUAUCCGGAAUCAUUGGGCGUAAAGGGUGCGUAGGUGGUCAAUAAAGUCAGAGGUGAAAGGCUAGGGCUCAACCGUAGUAAGCCUUUGAAACUUAUUGACUUGAGUGCAGGAGAGGAGAGUGGAAUUCCUAGUGUAGCGGUGAAAUGCGUAGAUAUUAGGAGGAACACCAGUGGCGAAGGCGACUACCUGGACGAAAACUGACGCUGAGGCACGAAAGCUAGGGGAGCAAACAGGAUUAGAUACCCUGGUAGUCCUAGCCGUAAACGAUGGGUACUAGGUGUAGGAGGUUUCGAUACCUUCUGUGCCGCAGUUAACGCAAUAAGUACCCCGCCUGGGGAGUACGUGCGCAAGCAUGAAACUCAAAGGAAUUGACGGGGGCCCGCACAAGCGGUGGAGCGUGUGAUUUAAUUCGAAGCAACGCGAAGAACCUUACCAGGUCUUGACAUCCCUUGACAGCCUCAGAGAUGAGGCUUCUCUUCGGAGCAAGGAGACAGGUGGUGCAUGGUUGUCGUCAGCUCGUGUCGUGAGAUGUUGGGUUAAGUCCCGCAACGAGCGCAACCCUUGCCUUUAGUUGCCAUCAUUCAGUUGGGCACUCUAGAGGGACUGCCGGUGACAAACCGGAGGAAGGUGGGGAUGACGUCAAAUCAUCAUGCCCCUUAUGUCCUGGGCUACACACGUGCUACAAUGGUCUGUACAGAGGGAAGCGAAGCAGCGAUGUGAAGCGAAUCCCAGAAAACAGAUCUCAGUUCGGAUUGUAGGCUGCAACUCGCCUACAUGAAGCUGGAAUCGCUAGUAAUCGCAGGUCAGCAUACUGCGGUGAAUACGUUCCCGGGCCUUGUACACACCGCCCGUCACACCACGAAAGUUUGCAACACCCGAAGCCGGUGGCCUUACCCGCAAGGGAGGGAGCCGUCGAAGUGGGGCAGAUGAUUGGGGUGAAGUCGUAACAAGGUAACC